CCAGUUCGGAUCGCAGCCUGCAACCCGGCUGCGUGAAGCUGGAAUCGCUAGUAAUCGCGGAUUAGAAUGCCGCGGUGAAUACGUUCCCGGGUCUUGUACACACCGCCCGUCACACCAUGGGAGUCGGAAAUGCCCGAAGUCUGUGACCCAACCGGAAGGAGGGAGCAGCCGAAGGCAGGUCGGAUGACUGGGGUGAAGUCGUAACAAGGUAUC
rnacentral:rRNA from 1 species